CCUGCCCCCUGCCCACGCUCUCAUGCCUCUGGACCUCGGGUCAUGCAGCUCUCUCUGCUGGAACUCCUCCCUCUCUUCAUCUGGAUAAUUCCUCCUUGACCUUCACCCCACCUUGGCAGGAAGCUGGGCAGCUCCUACCAGGAGCCUACACCCUGCCCUUCCAAGCCCACCGCACCUGGUCCUCGUGAAUCGUCACGUCAUCCCAGAGAAGACUGUGAAUUUUUGCCUAUGAAGAGCUCUGAACACUCGCCCCACUGUGGCCAGAUGGGAGAGUCUGAGCAGCCGGAGAUCUGGGAAACCACGAGGCUCACACCAGGAGGAUGCAGGCCGCUCAGCGCAGCACCAUGUGAACAAGGACAAAGAAGGGGACAGGAAGAGACAAUAGGGCUCUUCUGAGGGUCCCCGGGUGCCACGCCAAGGGCAGAUGAGCCCCUGUGGGCAUGGGGCAGGCCUGGGGGCUGCCCUGUGGUUAUUGACUGGGGUGAGGAGGCCCCUGAGCUUGGACAGUGGCUGGACACUCAAGCAUUUGCAGAGGACGAGCGGGCUGGUGCCUGCCUGCGCAUCGGGGCUGCAGCUGGUCUGUCCUGAGGGCAGGUGCCUUCUGGAGCAGGGCGACGGGUAUGCUCAGGAAACGGGGAGCUCCCGCAUUAGGUAGAAGCAAAGCAGAGCAGGCUCGUGCUCAAUAACCUCCACAGGAAACAUUGUUUUAAAACAGAAAAGUAAUACUGGGGUGCCGUGGCUGCUAAGGCGCUAAACCCCUUUGGGCUGACAGUGCAGUUCGAGUCCUGGACCCGGCAGCUUGAAAAGCAGCCCGGUGUUUGUGCAUGCCAAAGAUCUUGAGAGGAGAAUGGAGGAGAGGGGAUUGUGGUGUGACCAUCCCUCAGGGGGAUACCCUACAGUGAGCAAACAAAAGCCACACACGUGACGACAGCAAAUACACAGGUGGCAGCGUGUGCAGGGCUGUAAGCGCGCUGGGGAGGCUGUGACAGUAGGCGUGGGGCAUAGUGGAGGUGCGCGGGUAAGGUACUAAGCCGUUUCUGUAACGAACUUGAGCAUCCGGGGACUGGGAUGUCCUUGGGGUCCGGGGUCCAGUCCUCCUCGGACACUGAGUAAUGACUG